rnacentral:lncRNA from 1 species
ACAGUGACUUGGCUAUGUGAACAAAGGUAAUAAAGUUUAUAAUGUUAUUCUAAGUAGGGAUUAAAACAUUAAAUGGGGAAAGACUGAAGACUGAGGCUAUGUGACAUGUGACUAGAAAACUCCGGAAUGACACAUAGCACAUUGUUCAGUACCUUUGGGUAUGAAUACUUAACUGUAUAUUUGUCCACUUGAUUGUUCCUGCAUAUUACUUAUAUCUCAGCCUUUUUUUGUAUGUGUGAUAAUGCCAGAAAAGGCUUUGUCAAGUGCCUCGCUGAGACUUGUUUGCCAAAUUUUGAGAUAACUUCGUGUGAAGCAUGAUCAAUCUUCUGUGCUUUUUGCAGCUCAGAGUUUGUGGAUGAAAAGAAAAAAGGAGAGGAAAUGGCCUUGUUUCUUGUCUUUAGAGCUGAACAUAAGCAGAUCUGACUAUAAUGGUUGACUUCUCCACCGAACAAGGCCAGACAUCCCUAUUGUUCAAGGUACCAGGCUCUUGGAGCCUUACAUUCUUCAGUGUUAGAAGGUACUAGAAUAUUUAAUUCCUGUUUUUGAAUUUAUAAUUAAAUAAUAAAACUGUUUUACUGUGUGCAGAUAUUGAUGAUGUUAUUUAUGUAUUUGGUUUAUGUUUUUGUUUACUUAUUUAUUUAUUUAUUUUGAGGCAGAGUCUCACCCAGGCUGAGUGCGGAGGUACAAUCAUGGAUCACUGCAGCCUCAACCUUCUAGGUUAAAUAAAUCCUCCCACCUCAGCCUCCCAAGUAGCUGGGACUACAGGUGUGCACCACGACAUCUGGGUAAGUUUUAAUUUCUCGUAAAGACAGAGUCUUGCCAUGUUGCCCAGACUGGUCUCAAACUCCUGGACUCAAGUGAUCUCCCUGCCUUGGCCUUCCAGAAUGUUGGGAUUAUAGGUGUAAGCCAGAACACUCAGCCUAUGCCUUUGUUGAAACUCUGAAAGCAGAAUGGCAGGUAGUAGCUUUAAGUGAAUCAAAAGAAAUGAUUUUUUCUUUUUUUUAUUUUUGAAGAUCUCAAAGUUUGUAAUUUUUUUUCUUAUCCAAAUGCAAUAUUGUUAAAUAGAUGGCAUUUUUGAAUAUACCUUUUAGUAAGUUAUCUUUAAUAUUUCUGUUUCCUUAGCAAGUUGAGAGGUCUUCAAUGACAAAUAAUUUUCUUUUAACCUUGGUAGGACUUGUCAGUUCUGUUGGCAUAAACAUAGGGUUUUAAAUUGAAAACCAAGGUUGUUUAUUAGAUAUAGAUAGAGAUUUACUAUAAAAUUCCAUUAUCCAAGACUUCUAAAAGAUUGAUGUAUCUUUGGUUAUUAUUAAUACUCCCAUAUCUCCUCUUACAG